rnacentral:rRNA from 1 species
AUGGGGAUGGAAAUAUAUCAACAAUGGGGUGUGGUUCGUUCCUGUCAGGUUUUUUUCUUUGACGCUGCCGCUCCUGGAGCACCAACUCAAAAUUUUCUCAUAUACUGGUGUUGCCCGAGCACGAGCACAAGGCGACAUUUUUGCUGGCCAUCUUGUUCAACACCUACUGGGGAGGCGGAGGAGGCCGGCAACAGGAGAAGGCGCAUGCCAGCGAGGAGGGCGAGCAGAAGGGUGCAGUGGAGGACGAUCAGGGGGAGACGUGAGCGCUCAGGCCUAGGUUUGUGUUGUUCUCGACUUGAGUAUAUGGGGCUCGAAUUGUGA